rnacentral:rRNA from 1 species
AAUGAACGCUGGCGGCGUGCCUAACACAUGCAAGUCGAACGAGAAACUCCGAGCUUGCUUGGAGGAGUAAAGUGGCGCACGGGUGAGUAACGCGUGGGUAACCUGCCCUUGAAUCUGGGAUAACUUCGCGAAAGCGUUGCUAAUACCGGAUGUUGUCCCGAGAUCUGUGGUUCUCGGAAUGAAAGGUGACCUCUCCGUGGAAGUUGCCGUUCAGGGAGGGGCCCGCGUGCCAUUAGCUUGUUGGUGGGGUAAUGGCCUACCAAGGCGACGAUGGUUAGCUGGUCUGAGAGGAUGAUCAGCCACACUGGAACUGAAACACGGUCCAGACUCCUACGGGAGGCAGCAGUGAGGAAUUUUGCGCAAUGGGGGAAACCCUGACGCAGCAACGCCGCGUGAGUGAAGAAGGCCUUCGGGUCGUAAAGCUCUGUCAAGGGGGAAAAAAUCCUUUCGAUCAAUAGUCAGUAAGGACUGAUGGUACCCCUAGAGGAAGCACCGGCUAACUCCGUG